UACAGAGGUCUCAAGCGUUGUUCGGAUUCAUCGGGCGUAAAGGGUGCGUAGGUGGUGCUGUAAGUCAGGUGUGAAAUCUCGGGGCUCAACCCCGAAACUGCACUUGAUACUGCAGUGCUCGAGGACUGGAGAGGAGAUUGGAAUUCAUGGUGUAGCAGUGAAAUGCGUAGAUAUCAUGAGGAAGACCAGUGGCGAAGGCGGAUCUCUGGACAGUUCCUGACACUGAGGCACGAAGGCCAGGGGAGCAAACGGG
rnacentral:rRNA from 1 species